CAAACGACUCUCGGCAACGGAUAUCUUGGCUCACGCAUCGAUGAAGAACGUAGCAAAAUGCGAUACUUGGUGUGAAUUGCAGAAUCCCGUGAACCAUCGAGUUUUUGAACGCAAGUUGCGCCCGAAGCCUUUUGGCCGAGGGCACGUCUGCCUGGGCGUCACGC
rnacentral:rRNA from 1 species